GAUGAACGCUGGCGGCGUGCCUAAUACAUGCAAGUCGAGCGAACAGACGAGGAGCUUGCUCCUCUGACGUUAGCGGCGGACGGGUGAGUAACACGUGGAUAACCUACCUAUAAGACUGGGAUAACUUCGGGAAACCGGAGCUAAUACCGGAUAAUAUAUUGAACCGCAUGGUUCAAUAGUGAAAGACGGUUUUGCUGUCACUUAUAGAUGGAUCCGCGCCGCAUUAGCUAGUUGGUAAGGUAACGGCUUACCAAGGCAACGAGGCGUAGCCGACCUGAGAGGGUGAUCGGCCACACUGGAACUGAGACACGGUCCAGACUCCUACGGGAGGCAGCAGUAGGGAAUCUUCCGCAAAGGGCGAAAGCUUGACGGAGCAACGCCGCGUGAGUGAUGAAGGUCUUCGGAUCGUAAAACUCUGUUAUUAGGGAAGAACAAAUGUGUAAGUAACUAUGCACGUCUUGACGGUACCUAAUCAGAAAGCCACGGCUAACUACGUG
rnacentral:rRNA from 1 species